rfam:Streptococcus ictaluri 707-05 Contig1217055107, whole genome shotgun sequence.
AUUUCCUUUAAGUGAGUCCAGAGAGGUGAACAAGGUAAACAAGAAGAAAAAGAGUCAAUAGGUCUCUUCAUUUUGUGUAACCUCGUUUCUUUGGAAAUGAGGUUUUUUGUU